rnacentral:rRNA from 1 species
AUGCUUCGCCCCAGCGGCGCGCCGAGGGGCCGGCGACCUCAAGCCCUCCAAGCUCACCCACCACUGCACCGACGACGACUCAUUCGCAGACGCGCAGAGGAAGGUGGCGCUGGACGUGGGGAGCGGCUGCGCGCACAGCUUCACCUUCAAGGAUCUGCUGGUGGCCACCGGCUACUUCAACGAGGCCAAUUUCAUCGGCGAGGGCGGCUUCGGCAAGGUGUACAAGGGCAAGAUCUCAAAGACCAACUCGCAGGGCGCUUCCGAUGCGCAGAUGGUGGCGGUGAAGCAGUUGGCCCGGGAGAGUGUGCAGGGAAGAAGGAGUUCCUGGUGGAGGUGCUGAUGCUCACGGUGCUCAGCCACCCCAACCUCGCCAUCCUCGUCGGCUUCUGCGUGCAGGGGGGUGAGUGGCUGCUGGUCUACGAGUACAUGCCCUUCGGCAGCCUGGAGAGCCACCUCUUUGGUAAUUCUUCUUCUCAGAAUUCUUCAGACUUGCUCUCUGUUUUUGGUUCAGUUCAUCUCUGCAAUGCAGUUAAUAUCCAUGUUGAUAUGUAA